rnacentral:rRNA from 1 species
UACGAAGGGGGCUAGCGUUGCUCGGAAUCACUGGGCGUAAAGCGCACGUAGGCGGGUCUUUAAGUCGGGGGUGAAAUCCUGGAGCUCAACUCCAGAACUGCCUUCGAUACUGAGGAUCUCGAGUCCGGGAGAGGUGAGUGGAACUCCGAGUGUAGAGGUGAAAUUCGUAGAUAUUCAGAAGAACACCAGUGGCGAAGGCGGCUCACUGGCCCGGUACUGACGCUGAGGUGCGAAAGCGUGGGGAGCAAACAGG